rnacentral:lncRNA from 1 species
GCUGCAACUGCACGGCCCUUGGCCCAAUGGCCAUCUACUCUGACAAAUCCCAUAUGUCGAAGGGAGUGGUUGUUGUAGGCGUCGGUGUAUGACAAUCUACAAACAACCUCUCCCUCAAAACUCACUCCAGACUCUUUAAAAAUUACUGUGAGAACCAUGCCAUAUGGCAAGAGAGCCUUGGAUCUAUUCAAGGCCUCCCUUAUGGCAUCGAUCAUCAGGAAAGGUAGGUUCAGGAGAGUCUC